UCUCCCUGGCUUGUUGUCCGUUCACAUGUUGAUUCUAUUACCUGUAAUAAGAAAACUCUAAUGAAGCGAACACGGCAAUCACGUUAGGAGCCACAGAGGGCGCUCUCAGGAGACACAAUUACCCCGGUCUCAUCUGACAGCGUGGGAGCUCCGGUACCUAGAUUUACCCCGCUCUGAGUGUGGACCCCGCCCCUGUACGCCUUUCUUUAGUACGGAGUCGUGGGUGGCAUUGAUCGACCAGGUAAAUCUAGGUAAAUCCAAGUAACUUCAUAGAAGCUAGGGCCCCGGGCCUGCUGCUGAUGAAAUCUUACUGGAAAGGAUUUAGUCAUAGGCGGAGAAUAAAUCAGGGAUUUAUCACAGUCUAGCGUCAAACAUGGUAACCAUGACAACUGUAAUGCUGUUUUGCUGCUUAGGAACAUUAACACAGGGUUUAAAGGGAAGCAACUCUACAAAGUCAGAUGAACCGCCACCGGAAGAAGACGACAAGAUUAUUCUGAUUGUGAUCGGGGUCAGUGGGGCUGUCAUCAUCGUCAUUGUUGUCGUCGUCAUUGUCGUCAAAAAACGGAGGAAAGCGAACAGUCAGGCCCGAAGGCGUCCGAAAAUCCGCUACAACAAAGCAUCGGCUGGGACGUCCUAGUAAAAAACCGUGCAUAUAGAGGUGUCCCGAAUGGUCAUGUUACUAUAAAAUCUCAAUUCAAAACGUCCAAAACUUAACGAUGUGUACGGAUGUGUUCCGAGUGGUCAUGUUACUAUAAAGGCUCGACCAAAACCUCCACAACUUUACGAUGUGAAAGAUGUGUUCCGAAUAUAACAUUAGGAUGAAUUAUUAUUGAGUGAAUGGCGUGUGGAAAUUUAUGUAAAUAUGUGUGUGUGUGGGUGGUUGUUCGGAGUGAUGUUUUGAUGUCACGAUAUCAAACACAUUAUUUAGAAAUGAAUGUUACGGAGUAUGUAUAAGUGAUAUCCAUGUAAGUAUUGUUUCGAUUGAUCAAUAUGAUCAAUCAGUAUCUAAAAGGAAAUAUAUUCACCUCGCCCUCCGAACUCGGUGAAUAUUGCUUGCCUCUGAGUGCUUAUUGGUCUUGACCAAGUAAAUUCAGUUGAUGCUUUAAAACAUGAACACCACAGACAAAUAUUUCAGAUUAAAUUCUCCUCCAAUAACACCACAGAAACUUGAAUAUUCGUCAUUACAGUUAGCUGCAUCUCAAACAAUAUGAAUACAUUAAAUGAUGAAAUGAAAUCAUAAGGGGCCUGUUUUACGAAAGAACUUACGACUAAGAGCAACAUUUAAUUCUGCUUCUUGCUUUCUAAUUUACAUUGAUUUGAAAAUGCUUUUAGUUUUUUUUUUAAAAAAGAGUUUAACAAGAUAUUUGUAUGCUAGGAAUUUCAAACAUAAUAAAUAAUUUUGCAAAAUUUUACACUCAACUAAAGUUUUGGUCUUAUUCGUAAGUUCUUUUGUAAAACGGGCCCCAGUUUAUUACUAACUUGGAUAUUCCUUGUUGUCGGUGAUUGUAUUAUGAACACUUGUAAAACUGUAAGAUUUAUGUUGACUAUAUCGAACGAGAAAGAUUUCUUAACCGUAUGUUAAACAUGUACGACCUUUUAUCACUAUGCUGUUCAUUUGUAUUAUAAGUUCGUUAUAUUUUACCUAUUGUAUCCAUUGCUAUCUUAUAAGCUUUAUUUAGACUGAUGUCUUUAUAAUUAAUAAACU